rnacentral:scRNA from 1 species
AAGGGGUAUGAGGACGAGGGGUUGAAUACAAAUUCAUGAAAUCUCAAUGAAAGUCCGACCCCCAGC